GGAGGAUCCGAGCGUUAUCCGGAUUUAUUGGGUUUAAAGGGAGCGUAGGCGGAUUGUUAAGUCAGUUGUGAAAGUUUGCGGCUCAACCAUAAAAUUGCCGUUGAAACUGGUUGACUUGAGUAUAUUUGAGGUAGGCGGAAUGCGUGGUGUAGCGGUGAAAUGCAUAGAUAUCACGCAGAACUCCGAUUGCGAAGGCAGCUUACUANACUAUAACUGACACUGAAGCACGAAAGCGUGGGGAUCANACAGGAUUAGAUACCCUGGUAGUCCACGCAGUANACGAUGAUUACUAGCUGUUUGCGAUACACAGUNAGUGGCACAGCGAAAGCGUUNAGUNAUCCACCUGGGGAGU
rnacentral:rRNA from 1 species